UUGCACGCUUUCCUUAUUGUGAGAUACCACAUUGUAGCUGCAACAGGGGGACCAUGAAGAAUGGCCUGUAGACUGAAACCUCCAACCAAGAUCAGCCCAAAGUGGAAUGUUAGCUAGGAAGAGGUUAUUUGAACUUCCAGUAAAAGGUGGAAAUUUCCUACCAGCCCUGUAGAAAGUGGCUUUUCCAGUAUUAUCUGUGACUAAUGUUAAUGCAGAUUCAUCACUUGAAUAUUGUCACCUGAGAUGUUUUGGUCUUAUUAUGCUGUCCAGUUUAAGCAGUGGAAGUAAUGCCCGUUCAUGUUCCGACUUCACACUGUCAAUGGUGCUGGCAGUGGUUCAGAGAAAAAGUUUGUUGUUAAGACUGUGUUUCCAUUUUUGAUCACUGAGAAUUAAAAUGGAAGGUUGCUACUAACAAUGGAAGUUCUUACCUUUGCUUUUCCGUGGCA